UGCUGUUUCUUCCUUGGCCCGUCAGGGAAGGAAACUCAGGAAACCUGGCCUUGAGCAAUGGGGGAUUAGAGCAGUGGUUCUAAAACUGUGGUCUGGGGGACUCUGGGUUCCAAGAUCUUUUCAGGGAGUCUGUGUCAAAACUAGUUUCAUAAUAAUAGUAAGACGUCAUUGCUUUUUCAAAUCUCCCUAGAAUUUCCGGAGGCAGCCUGAUGUGUGAUGAGGUCAUCGCUCAGGUGACUAAAGGAAUGCGAGCUUGUCUGUUCUGUUUUCUAGAAUUUCCUAAGUGAAUCCAGGAAAAUAGAGGAUACUUCAAAGAAGGAAACGGAGGGGAGUCAACUCCACCUGAGCAGGCUCUGUUGACCUGAACAACAAGGAAGAGUCCCAUGUGCUAGCCCUGGUGUGAGCGGAUGUUGGAUAUAUUCUGCCAGAGAAAAUAGAGAUUAUUACCUGAGAACUCAUUCUGAAGAUGGAGAAUAUGAAAAUGUUUCAGAUUCAUUUAAAACUAUAAAUGAAAAUAUUCAAGAAUCCCAGGGGACUCCAAGCAGCAUAAACAUAAAGAAAACCAUACCAAGGCACUGCAGAAUUGAAUUUCUGAAAACCAGUGAUAAAGGGGAAAAUCUUAAAGAUGAGACUAAUCACUGGUUUCUCAUUAAAAACAAUGCAAACCAGAAGAUGGUGGAACAACAUUUUUAAAGCAUGGAAAGAAAAAUGCUGUCAACCUAGAAUUUUAUAUCUGGCGAAAAUUCCUUCAAAGAUAAAGGCAAAAUAAAGACAUUUCAGAUAAGCUAAAGGCAAGCGAAUUCAUCAGUAGUGAACUUGUACUACAAGAAAUGCUGAAGGAAGUUUUGCAGACUGAAAGAAAAUGAUACCAGAUGGACACAAAGGAAUGAAGAGUACCAGAAAUGCAUCUGCAAGGACGCCUGGCUCGCUGCAAACAGCUCAAUAAGAAUUCGUUGAAUGAAAUGGAGAAUAAGGCCCUAGGACAAAAUUAUCUUAACGCUGUG